rnacentral:lncRNA from 1 species
ACGUCUAUGGUUUACAUUAUUGGAUAAACUAGUAGAUUAGUGGCCGACGACAUCCGGCUUUAAGAUGGGGUUUCUCUCUAAAUACAUUGUUCUUCAUAAUGGCCAUAGAAUCAAAACAAAGUGUAUUGUCCACACUUUCAAUCUUUAUAUGUAGUUUGAUGCCGUUGGCAAUGACAAAAUUAUUGUCGAAUCAAGUACAAUUCUUGAAAACUAUCU